rnacentral:rRNA from 1 species
UGAAUCAGUGUGUGUGUUAGUGGAAGCGUCUGGAAAGGCGCGCGAUACAGGGUGACAGCCCCGUACACAAAAAUGCACAUGCUGUGAGCUCGAUGAGUAGGGCGGGACACGUGGUAUCCUGUCUGAAUAUGGGGGGACCAUCCUCCAAGGCUAAAUACUCCUGACUGACCGAUAGUGAACCAGUACCGUGAGGGAAAGGCGAAAAGAACCCCGGCGAGGGGAGUGAAAAAGAACCUGAAACCGUGUACGUGCAAGCAGUGGGAGCCUCUUUAUGGGGUGACUGCGUACCUUUUGUAUAAUGGGUCAGCGACUUAUAUUCUGUAGCAAGGUUAACCGAAUAGGGGAGCCGAAGGGAAACCGAGUCUUAACUGGGCGUUAAGUUGCAGGGUAUAGACCCGAAACCCGGUGAUCUAGCCAUGGGCAGGUUGAAGGUUGGGUAACACUAACUGGAGGACCGAACCGACUAAUGUUGAAAAAUUAGCGGAUGACUUGUGGCUGGGGGUGAAAGGCCAAUCAAACCGGGAGAUAGCUGGUUCUCCCCGAAAGCUAUUUAGGUAGCGCCUCGUGAACUCAUCUCCGGGGGUAGAGCACUGUUUCGGCAAGGGGGUCAUCCCGACUUACCAACCCGAUGCAAACUGCGAAUACCGGAGAAUGUUAUCACGGGAGACACACGGCGGGUGCUAACGUCCGUCGUGAAGAGGGAAACAACCCAGACCGCCAGCUAAGGUCCCAAAGUCAUGGUUAAGUGGGAAACGAUGUGGGAAGGCCCAGACAGCCAGGAUGUUGGCUUAGAAGCAGCCAUCAUUUAAAGAAAGCGUAAUAGCUCACUGGUCGAGUCGGCCUGCGCGGAAGAUGUAACGGGGCUAAACCAUGCACCGAAGCUGCGGCAGCGACACUAUGUGUUGUUGGGUAGGGGAGCGUUCUGUAAGCCUGUGAAGGUGUGCUGUGAGGCAUGCUGGAGGUAUCAGAAGUGCGAAUGCUGACAUAAGUAACGAUAAAGCGGGUGAAAAGCCCGCUCGCCGGAAGACCAAGGGUUCCUGUCCAACGUUAAUCGGGGCAGGGUGAGUCGACCCCUAAGGCGAGGCCGAAAGGCGUAGUCGAUGGGAAACAGGUUAAUAUUCCUGUACUUGGUGUUACUGCGAAGGGGGGACGGAGAAGGCUAUGUUGGCCGGGCGACGGUUGUCCCGGUUUAAGCGUGUAGGCUGGUUUUCCAGGCAAAUCCGGAAAAUCAAGGCUGAGGCGUGAUGACGAGGCACUACGGUGCUGAAGCAACAAAUGCCCUGCUUCCAGGAAAAGCCUCUAAGCAUCAGGUAACAUCAAAUCGUACCCCAAACCGACACAGGUGGUCAGGUAGAGAAUACCAAGGCGCUUGAGAGAACUCGGGUGAAGGAACUAGGCAAAAUGGUGCCGUAACUUCGGGAGAAGGCACGCUGAUGCGUAGGUGAAGCGGCUUACUCGUGGAGCUGAAAUCAGUCGAAGAUACCAGCUGGCUGCAACUGUUUAUUAAAAACACAGCACUGUGCAAACACGAAAGUGGACGUAUACGGUGUGACGCCUGCCCGGUGCCGGAAGGUUAAUUGAUGGGGUCAGCCGCAAGGCGAAGCUCUUGAUCGAAGCCCCGGUAAACGGCGGCCGUAACUAUAACGGUCCUAAGGUAGCGAAAUUCCUUGUCGGGUAAGUUCCGACCUGCACGAAUGGCGUAAUGAUGGCCAGGCUGUCUCCACCCGAGACUCAGUGAAAUUGAACUCGCUGUGAAGAUGCAGUGUACCCGCGGCAAGACGGAAAGACCCCGUGAACCUUUACUAUAGCUUGACACUGAACAUUGAGCCUUGAUGUGUAGGAUAGGUGGGAGGCUUUGAAGCGUGGACGCCAGUCUGCGUGGAGCCGACCUUGAAAUACCACCCUUUAAUGUUUGAUGUUCUAACGUGGACCCGUGAUCCGGGUUGCGGACAGUGUCUGGUGGGUAGUUUGACUGGGGCGGUCUCCUCCUAAAGAGUAACGGAGGAGCACGAAGGUUGGCUAAUCCUGGUCGGACAUCAGGAGGUUAGUGCAAUGGCAUAAGCCAGCUUGACUGCGAGCGUGACGGCGCGAGCAGGUGCGAAAGCAGGUCAUAGUGAUCCGGUGGUUCUGAAUGGAAGGGCCAUCGCUCAACGGAUAAAAGGUACUCCGGGGAUAACAGGCUGAUACCGCCCAAGAGUUCAUAUCGACGGCGGUGUUUGGCACCUCGAUGUCGGCUCAUCACAUCCUGGGGCUGAAGUAGGUCCCAAGGGUAUGGCUGUUCGCCAUUUAAAGUGGUACGCGAGCUGGGUUUAGAACGUCGUGAGACAGUUCGGUCCCUAUCUGCCGUGGGCGCUGGAGAACUGAGGGGGGCUGCUCCUAGUACGAGAGGACCGGAGUGGACGCAUCACUGGUGUUCGGGUUGUCAUGCCAAUGGCACUGCCCGGUAGCUAAAUGCGGAAGAGAUAAGUGCUGAAAGCAUCUAAGCACGAAACUUGCCCCGAGAUGAGUUCUCCCUGACUCCUUGAGAGUCCUGAAGGAACGUUGAAGACGACGACGUUGAUAGGCCGGGUGUGUAAGCGCAGCGAUGCGUUGAGCUAACCGGUACUAAUGAACCGUGAGGCUUAACCUU